AGGAGUUGAAACCCUGUCUCAACAACAAUAACAAAAAAAAGGGAAAGAAAAUUUUUCUUUUGAAAAUAUCAGAAAAAUAAAAAAAAACAAUAAACCAAAUACCUAUACAUCAAUCACAUAGCAACAAUUGUCAACAUUUUACUGUUUUCUCCAUCUCACUAUAUAUAAAAUCUGUGGCUAAAGCAUUUUAAAGCUAAUUACAGAUAUUCUAACACUUCAACCCUAAACACUUCAGCAUGUAUUUCCAAAAAUUAGAUCAUUCUCUUCCAUAACAAUACACUUAACACGUCUCACAAAAUUAGCAAUAAUUUUCUUAUAUCAUCUAAUACCAAGUUCAUAGUGAAAUUUCCCCAUUGUCUAAAGCAUGGUGGGCCAGGUAUAGUCGCUUACACCUGUAAUCUCAGUGCUUUGGGAAGUCAAGGUGGGAAGGUGGCUUGAAGCUAGGAGUUCCAGGCCAGCCUGGGCAAUGUAGUGAGAUGUCAUCUCUACUAAAAUAAAAAAAAAAAAAUGGCCAGGUAUGAUGUCUUGCACCUAUAGUCCCAGCUGUGGGGAGGCUGAAGAGGGAGGAUGGCUUGAGUCUAGGAAUUUGAGCUUGCAGUGAGCUAGGAUCACACCACUGCACUUCGGCCUGGGCAACAGAGUGAGACCCUGUCUCAAAAUAAAUAAAUAAAUAUGAUAAAAAUAAAAACGUGGUCCUUAUUUUUUUAUAGUAAUAAAUCAAGAUAUAAUCAAGAAUCACAUCUUAUAUUUGGCUUGUUAGACUAUUAGGUCUCUUUAAAUCUAGAACCUCCUCCCCAUUACUUUUUUUUGUUUUUACAACAUUGGCUUUUAAGAGAUUAUGGCAGUUGUCUUAUAAACUGUUUCACAUUCUGGCUUUGUCUGAUUGCUUCUUUGUGUGUUGUUUAACGUGUUCCUCUAUCCCCUGAACUUUUCGUAACUGAAGCUAGUUCUUAUAGGCCUCAUUAGAUUCAGGCUCAAUAUUUUUCACAGGAGCCAAAAUAGGUGGAGCUAUGUAGUCUACUCCAUCCUAUUAGGGGUGAGAAAAGAACUUUCUUUCUUUUUUUUUUUUUUUUUUAGACGGAGUCUUGCUCUGUCGCCCAGGCUGGAGUGCAGUG
rnacentral:lncRNA from 1 species